AGAGUUUGAUCAUGGCUCAGGAUGAACGCUGGCGGCGUGCCUAACACAUGCAAGUCGAACGGGUGUGGUAUCAGGGAAAAGGGGUUUACUUCUUUGACCAGGUAACACACUAGUGGCGGACGGGUGAGUAACGCGUGGAUAACCUGCCUUAUACAGGGGGAUAACAGGGAGAAAUUCUUGCUAAUACCCCAUAGGUAUGUCUGACGCAUGUUGGACAUAUUAAAGCUUUGGCGGUAUAAGAUGGGUCCGCGUCUGAUUAGCUAGUUGGUGGGGUAAAGGCCCACCAAGGCGACGAUCAGUAGCCGGCUUGAGAGAGUGGACGGCCACAUUGGGACUGAGACACGGCCCAAACUCCUACGGGAGGCAGCAGUGGGGAAUAUUGCACAAUGGGGGAAACCCUGAUGCAGCGACGCCGCGUGAAGGAAGAAGGUCUUCGGAUCGUAAACUUCUAUCAGCAGGGAAGAAGGAAGUGACAGUACCUGAGUAAGAAGCCCCGGCUAACUACGUGCCAGCAGCCGCGGUAAUACGUAGGGGGCGAGCGUUAUCCGGAAUUACUGGGUGUAAAGGGUGCGUAGGCGGUAUGGCAAGUCAGUUGUGAAACCCCCUGGCUCAACCAGGGGCUUGCAAUUGAAACUGUCAUACUAGAGUGCAGGAGAGGAAAGCGGAAUUCCUAGUGUAGCGGUGAAAUGCGUAGAUAUUAGGAAGAACACCAGUGGCGAAGGCGGCUUUCUGGACUGUAACAGACGCUGAGGCACGAAAGCGUG
rnacentral:rRNA from 1 species